CUACGGGGGGCUCCAGUGAGGAAUAUUGGUCAAUGGGCGCGAGCCUGAACCAGCCAUCCCGCGUGCAGGAUGACGGCCCUAUGGGUUGUAAACUGCUUUUCUAUGCCAAGAAACCUGAUUACGUGUAAUCAGUUGCCGGUAGCAUAGGAAUAAGCAUCGGCUAACUCCGUGCCAGGCAGCCGCGGUAAUACGGAGGAUGCAAGCGUUAUCCGGAUUCAUUGGGUUUAAAGGGUGCGCAGGUGGGCUUGUAAGUCAGUGGUGAAAUGCUGCCGCUUAACGGUAGAACUGCCAUUGAUACUGCGAGUCUUAAGUAUGGUUGAGGUAGGCGGAAUGUGUUGUGUAGCGGUGAAAUGCAUAGAUAUGACACAGAACGCCAAUUGCGAAGGCAGCUUACUAAGCCAUUACUGACGCUGAGGCACGAAAGCGUGGGGAGCGAACAGGAUUAGAUACCCCCGUAGUC
rnacentral:rRNA from 1 species